rnacentral:tRNA from 1 species
GGGCCAGUAGCUCAGCGGUAGAGCAGCGGACUCAUAAUCCGACAGGUCGUAGGUUCGAAUCCUACCUGGCCUA